UACGUAGGUGGCAAGCGUUGUCCGGAAUUAUUGGGCGUAAAGCGCGCGCAGGCGGUCCUUUAAGUCUGAUGUGAAAGCCCACGGCUCAACCGUGGAGGGUCAUUGGAAACUGGGGGACUUGAGUGCAGGAGAGAAAAGUGGAAUUCCACGUGUAGCGGUGAAAUGCGUAGAGAUGUGGAGGAACACCAGUGGCGAAGGCGGCUUUCUGGUCUGUAACUGACGCUGAGGCGCGAAAGCGUGGGGAGCAAACAGG
rnacentral:rRNA from 1 species